AGCAAUAUUAGUUUAUAUAAAAUAGUAGUUUGUCUCACUACAGAAGAUUUUUUUGUCAUGUUGCUA
rnacentral:tRNA from 1 species